rnacentral:lncRNA from 1 species
GUAGACUUUGGAAUGGCUCUGUCAGCUCCUCAGACCCAUCCCCUGAGAAAGCACAGGGGAUGCUGGGCAUUCAGGAUACUGUCUUCCAAACAAGGCCCCUCUGGCCCCUCUGUGUCUGCUCUCUGGAGCCGGGUCCUGCCCUUCACAGCCACCUCUCUGCCUCUCAUCACUCUCAACCCCUAACAGAAGGCCCUGCAGCAGAUUGGUUCCUCCGUCUGAGGGAGACUGCAUAACAGGGUUGUACUGGCUUAGAAGGUUCUAGAACGUAAUCUCCUCAACCAAACUUCCUGCCUCAGAGGUGAGAUGUUGGUCAUGGCUCAAACAAGGCCACUCUGCCUGGGUCUGCAGCACCCCAGCUAUCACACACUGGCUCCUACCUUCAGAUGCAGAGGGCCGGACUGUCUGCCACUGUUCCUCCAUCCACACAAAGAAUGAGGUUAGCCGGGCAGGACCGGUGGCUGUGUCACGUCUGGUCAAGCGGGAAACCAAUUCUCCGUGUCUGUGUUCCGGGAAACACUGGGCUCUCUUCUGUUUUGUUUUAGUUUUUCUUCUCCAGUAGCUUGGGCCGCAGCUUCUACUCUGCCUGAUGAAUUACGUUUCUUCCUGUGAUUUGAUCUGCGUCUUCGCAGAUAUGGGGCUUUUGUGAGACUCCCUCUUGGUACGCGCGCCCUGCUACUCAACGGCCCUCGUCCGCCUGCAGUCGGCGUCUUUUGUACAUUUAAAUGUGUAAAUAGUUGUGACAAGACAAAGAAGUUAUUUAUUUCCAUCCGAGGCUCUUGUCAAAGGCUCCUUGCAGAGAACAAUGAAGCCGGUUCCUUUCAGUCUGUUUGUUUUCUUAUUUAAGACUAUUUAUUAACAGUCGGACCGAUGUACCCAUAGCUGUCGAAUAAAGUGGUCCUUAGUGAAAAUUCUGUAUAAAUAGAGUCAAAAAGGGGGUUUGACUUUGCAAUAAAAGGAGACGUUUGGUUCUGGCUGUCAG